CACGUAGUUAGCCGUGGCUUCCUCGCAAGAUACCAUCACUCAAUCACCAUUCCCUGUGCUUGUCGUUUUUCUCUUGCAACAGAGCUUUACGAUCCGAAGACCUUCUUCACUCACGCGGCAUUGCUCGUUCAGAGUUCCCUCCAUUGACGAAAAUUCCCUACUGCUGCCUCCCGUAGGAGUUUGGGCCGUGUCUCAGUCCCAAUGUGGCCGUUCGCCCUCUCAGGUCGGCUACGCAUCAUUGCUUUGGUGGGCCGUUACCCCGCCAACCGGCUAAUGCGCCGCAGGCCCAUCCAUGUCCACACCCUUGGGUGCUUUGAUAAGCGGAAGAUGCCUCCCUCUUACCUAUCCGGUUUUAGCAGUCGUUUCCGUCUGUUAUCCCGGGUACAUGGGCAGGUUGCCUACGUGUUACUCACCCGUUCGCCACUGACUUGCGGAAAGCAAGCUCUCCUCAAGUCCGUUCGACUUGCAUGUAUUAGGCAUGCCGCCAGCGUUCAU
rnacentral:rRNA from 1 species